rnacentral:rRNA from 1 species
UCGGGAUAAUUAUCUGGGCUUAAAGUGUCCGUAGCCGGUUUAGUAAGUUCCUGGUAAAACCGGGCAGCUUAACUGUCCGUAUGCUAGGAAUACUGCUAUGCUAGAGGGCGGGAGAGGUCUGAGGUACUACAGGGGUAGGGGUGAAAUCUUAUAAUCCUUGUAGGACCACCAGUGGCGAAAGCGUCAGACUGGAACGCGCCUGACGGUGAGGGACGAAAGCCAGGGGAGCGAACCGGAUUAGAUACCCGGGUAGUCCUGGCCGUAAACGAUGCAUACUAGGCAAUGGUGCGGCCAUGAGCCGCAUCAGUACCGUAGGGAAACCGUUAAGUGUGCCGCCUGGGAAGUACGGUCGCAAGGCUAAAACUUAAAGGAAUUGGCGGGGGAGCACCACAAGGGGUGAAGCCUGCGGUUCAAUUGGACUCAACGCCGGGAAACUUACCAGGGGAGACAGCAGAAUGACAGUCAGGUUGACGACCUUACUCGACGAGCUGAGAGGAGGUGCAUGGCCGUCGCCAGUUCGUGCUGUGAGGUAUCCUGUUAAGUCAGGCAACGAACGAGAUCCGCGCCUUUAUUUGCCAUCAAGAAGUCACGACUUCGUUGGGAACACUAAAGGGACCGCCGUCGAUAAGACGGAGGAAGGAGCGGGCAAAGGCAGGUCAGUAUGCCCCGAAACCCAUGGGCUACACGCGGGCUGCAAUGGUGCGAACAAUGGGCUGUAACUCCGAAAGGAGAAACCAAUCCCGAAAUCGCAUCUCAGUGGGGAUUGUCGACUGUAACUCGUUGACAUGAACGUGGAAUCCCUAGUAAUCGCGUGUCACCAUCGCGCGGUGAAUACGUCUCUGCUCCUUGCA